GUGUCAGCAGCCGCGGUAAUACGAAGGGGGCUAGCGUUGUUCGGAAUUACUGGGCGUAAAGGGCGCGCAGGCGGCCUAUCAAGUCAGAUGUGAAAGCCCCGGGCUCAACCUGGGAACUGCAUUUGAGACUGAUAGGCUUGAGUUCGGGAGAGGAGAGCGGAAUUCCCAGUGUAGAGGUGAAAUUCGUAGAUAUUGGGAAGAACACCGGUGGCGAAGGCGGCUCUCUGGACCGAUACUGACGCUGAGGCGCGAAAGCGUGGGGAGCAAACAGGAUUAGAUACCCUAGUAGUCC
rnacentral:rRNA from 1 species